CGGGGUGUAGCUCAGUUUGGUAGAGCGCUUGCUUCGGGAGCAAGAGGCCGUAGGUUCGAAUCCUAUCACCCCGACCA
rnacentral:tRNA from 1 species